rnacentral:lncRNA from 1 species
GUCAGCGAACGAGCGCGCGCAAUAGCGCGGGGCAGGGGUCGCCGCGGCCGGAAGCCCACGCGGGGGGUUGCAGGGACGGGUCGUAAGGGGCGGGGCGGGCCUCGAGGAGGCGGCGGUGGGGUCCCCGGACCUCCGCGCGUGGCACAGCCCGCAUCCUGAACUGACUCCCACUCGAGGACCACCUCUCCUCUCCCUUCUGAGGGCGGAACGGAAAGGCCAAGCGCCUCCUCGCCUCGGGAGCUGCAGGACGCCCUAAUUCAGCCGAGUCGCCGCGUGCCCGGGUGCCCGCGAACAGCAGGAGAGAGGACGGGCGCUGGCCCCACAGGGGUCGCUUUACCCCUUGAAGAGCUCCUCGCUGCCUGCCCUGGGGGUGGUGGGCGUCCAGGUUCACAGGGUACUUGAGCUUGCUGGGGUGGGGGUGUGUAUGAAGUGCGUCCAGGGUUUUGUGGAGCGCGUCUAGCAGUUGCUCUACUUCUUACUGACAGUGAAACAAGGGCGCCCACGACAGGUGUUCCCUUUUCGCUGUCGCUGCCAGGAAGCUUCCAGCCAGGUUCAGCGCCCAGUGGUGUCAGCCGGCCCAUCUCGAGCCUUGGUUCCGCUGUCAUCUUCUGGUGCUUAUUCUGGUGUUUAUCCAACUGUCCGUUUUGAAAUUAUGUUCCCAAGCCAUUUAACACCUCUGGAGAACCAAAGCACUGGCUGUCAGCGGAGCGGGAUGCACGCGCAGCGGAGGGGACUGGGCACGCCAACCCCACGAGGGUUCCUGCGGAGAUGACACGGACCUUGAGGUCUGAAGCCAAAGGACGAUUUGUGUGAAGGGAUUUUAUUGUUAGCUUUGGAGCCAGCAACAAGAACACAGCCCUGGAGUUCCCGGGGCAAAAAGGAUACCAAGAUAAUAAUUCAGAUUCCGGCCGGGAGCAGUGGCUCAUGCCUGUAAUCCCAGCACUUUCAAAGGCCAAGGCGGGCGGAUCACGAGGUCAGGAGAUCGACAUGGUGAAACCCCGUUUCUACUAAACCCCAACAUGGUGAAACCCCGUUUCUACUAAAAUACAAAAAAUUAGCCAGGCAUGAUGGUGUGCGCCUGUAGUCCCAGCCGCUCAGGAGGCUGACACAGGGGAAUCGCUUGAACCUGGGCGGUGGAGGUUGCAGUGAGCUGAGAUCGCGCCACUGCACUCCAGCCUGGCGACAGAGCAAAACUCUAUCUCAAAAAAAAAAAAAAAAAAAAAAAUGCAGAUUCCUGGGUCCCACCCCCAAAAGAUGCUAAUUUUGUAGAUCUGAGUAGGACCUAAGGGUCUGCAUUUUUAAUACUGAAGCAUGUGGUCUUCAAGCUUAUGGCAUGUAGUAGGGACAGGACGAAAAAUGAAACUGGAGAAUGAAAUGAAACCGAGUCAGUAUGAGAAGGGCCUCAUGCACAGCACCUGGAGUUUGGACUUCAUCCCGUGGUCUGCAAUAAGUGAGUAGAGGUUUCUAAGUCAUGUGGUUAUUUUUAAAAGCUAAUUCUAGUAUUGAGAAGGAAUGGGAGUGGAAACAGAUAGUAGGUUGAAUGAAGGAAUGAAUGCAGUAAAAUGCUCAGUGAAAGAUGUGGCACUUUUUGUUUUCAGUAUUCUCUUGCUUUGAACCAAAACCACUUAGAAUGUAUUUCUUUUAAAACCUGUAUGUCAGUGUAAAUAUUCACAAACAACUGUAUGUUCUGACCUAUGUCUUCUGGACUUCCAGAGUUAGCAUUAACAUUAUUAGCUGCCAGGCCAACAAAACCUUGAGUAAUCCUGCAAUACUCGGAAUCAAGAAAAGUGGCUACAUCAUGGUCAACUUUGAAGAACAUCAGCCUCAAGAUCUUUUAUACUAACUCAUAUGUUUAUUAAAAUCUAUUACUAAAACAGAUUUUUAAAAAUUAUCUUGAGGUUAUAAUGAGACAUAGUGCUUCUACCUAAUUCCUAUUGGGAAAAAAAAAUGUUGAGAUUUGGGGACCAAGAAAAAAAAUUCUGAUCGCUUUUUUUUUUUUUUUUUUUGAGAUGGUGUCUCUCUCUGUCACGCAGGCUUGGAGUGCAGUGGCAUGAUUUUGUCUCACUGCAACCUCUGCCUCCCGGGUUCAAGUGAUUCUCCUGCCCCAGCCUCCUGAGUAGCUGGAAUUUCAGGCACCCACCACCAAGCCCAGCUAAUUUUUGUAUUUUUAGUAGAGACAAGGUUUCACCAUGUUGGCCAGGCUGAUCUCAAACUCCUGACCUCAAAUGAUCCACCUGCCUUGGCCUCCCAGAGUGCUGGGACUACAGGCAUGAGCCACCGCUCCCAGCUGAUUGCUUUCAAUUAGUAUUGAUAAUAGUUUGAAACUGGGACAAGUAGCCUAGUCUUGGCAGUCUUUCUGCUCCUUAGCUCAGCUAGGUCCAAGUUCUUGUCUCACAACCAGGAAAAACUAGGCACACAGACACCGGAAAGUGAGUGGAGUGGAAUUGAUUAAGCAAAAGGAAAGCUCUCAGCAAAGAGCGAAUGCUGGGAGCAGUUCCCCUACCCGAAAGUGGGAAAAUCCCCUCUCAUGUGGCUGAGCCUGGGGCUUUUAUGCACUCAGAAUGGGGAGUGCAUGCUGAUUGGUUUGUGAGUUUGCAAAAAAAGGUUAAAGCAAAGACACCACUCAAAGGCAGGCACGACAGUGUAGAAAACCAAUUAGAAAGGGUAAGUAUACGUAAAAUAGGUGAAGGGUGGAGAUCAGAGGAAAGCGUGCCAAACAGGAAGACAAGUUCUCAAUCUAGUCUGAAAAUUUAACUUGUAGUUUGGCUUUCAGGCUUUAAACUGUCUUCAGCUUGGAGGUGGGGUUUCACCGGGGACCUGCCUCUAUCUGCCUAGGCGUUUGACUGUCUUCUGUUGCUGUCACUAGUAGCACAAUAUAAAGAUUUUGUGCUACUGUUUCACAGUGAUUUGCAAUUAGUGCUUUUUUUUGUCAUGUAGUUUUGUUUUUAGUGCAUUAUUCUUUAGGAGAAUUUAUCCGUGAAGCUUGGGUAUCACAGCUUACUGCUAUGUCCUUGAUUUAUACUUCUCAUUGACUGUGAGAAGUGAUGGCUAGUUUUCCUGCUGUGAGCAGGUUUGGUGAUAUACAAUACCAUUCGCAAGAUGUUAUAUAUGUGCAUUGUCACAUUUCUUUCAAAAAUGAUAUUUCCAAUUUUUCCAAACAUUCAUAUCUUCUUUCUGGCCAUCAUACUGAUUUUAUUACCAAAAUAAAAUCUUAUCAUUAACUCUGAAAACAAUUUAAAUAACUAUAAGCCAUAGUUAGGGAAUGAUUUUUAAUAAAACCUAGAUACAAACACCAUCAUUUUCUCCUCUAAUAGCAGGUUGUCUUGCCUGACUCUCAAAAAUGAGGGAGCUAAAUCAUACAGAUAGGUGACAUGUUCAUGGCUAUAAGGAACACCAUAGCAUAAUAUUUGGACAGUAAGACAUAAUACAUAUCCUGAAAAAACUUUGAUGUGUAGUCAGUGUAACCCUUGUCCCCUGUCCUCCUCCCUAACCUCAGGAAAGAUCCACACUUCCACAUUUAUUCCCUACCCACCUUUGGUUUUGAAUCCUCAUUUCCACAGAUGCAGCAUGACAUCUGUAACCCCUACAAAUCUGCAUACCCCUCCAGCCUUCCCAGAACUUCAUUCCCUCCAUCUUCAUUGCCUUAGCUCCUUUUGUCUUUAAGUAUUCACUCACUAAGUCAAGAAAAUAUUGGAGGGGGGGUGGGGCAAAACAACUAGGCUUUAAAGGUGGGGGAUUACCCAGAUCAACACAAGUCUCCCACUUGAACAACUGCUCUUUGACACCUGUACCCUGAGAUGUGACUAUGGAUUAAAGUCAUAGCACCCCUGCCUCCAGGUUGGAAAGUUUUAUGGAAAAUGAACAUAUUUUAUUAGAAGACAAUGAGAACUUCCUGGAGCAGAUGAGUAAACACACCCUCAUGUUUACCUGAUAACUGAAAUCAAAGAUGAGGUGUAGCCUCUGGUUUGAAAUGUUACAAAGUGUAAAAUUAAGAUAAAGGCAGAAAAAUGAAAAGGAAAUAGCCAGUUUUGAAGCAGAAGAACUCAGUGGGACAGGGGCCAAAUCAGUGAAAGAGGUGCUGCUCAGAUACCAGAUUUAAUGACAACCAAAGUGGCCCAAAUAUCCAAAAAAAAUUGCGCUUCUGAAAACCAGUAGGAGGUUGCAGUGGACUAAAGAUGGCCACAAAAUUUUUAUCGUUUUCCCCGUCAAGAAUGGGAGUUUAUUUUUCAUCAUCUUGAAUCUGGCCCUGUGACUGCAUCACCAAGAAGACACUGCAGAAGUGAUGCUCUGCCAGUUCUGGUUCUAGUCUUUUAGAAGACUGUUAGCCUCUACUUCCUCUUUCUUCAAAUGAGCUCUCUUGGGACACCCUCUCUCAGAACCAAACCACCAUGCAUGGGGCAUGUGUGGCCUCUUCACUCAGGAGCCCCAGCAGAGCAACCAGCCAGUACUGAGCAUCAAGUGCCAGUCAUGUGAAUGAGCCAUCUAGGAUGUUCUUUGGUCAAGUCUAUACAAAAGAACUUACCAGCUGAGCCCAGCCAACACAUAGAAUUAUGAAAUAGUAAAAUGAUUAUUGUUUAAAGUCAUGAAAUUUUGCAGUUUUUUUAAUAUAGCAAUAGAUAACCAAAAUCAAGAUUAAAUAAAAUAUCAGAUGAUUAAAAUGGAGCAUGAAAAUGGAGUUAACUUUGUAAGAAGAACCACAACCCCAAUGAUCAUGACUUAGAGGAAAGUUCAGUAAAUAAAACAGAAAAUAUUGAAAAAGGCUGUUUCAUUUUAAACCUGUGUCAAGCUCCUAGACCUAAAAUGACACUUGAAAUUGUCCUCCAUUAGAAUUCAUUGUGCUACAGAUUUUCUCUCAUUCUGUUACAUAUAUUUAUUUAAUGAAGUAGAGAAAUUCUUCUCUCAUAAGCUAAUGCUGCAAGGUGUUUUUAUAUGUAUUAUAUGUAUAUGUACAUACAUAUAUUUUUUAUAUUAACAUAACAGUUUAUAAUAAAUGUUUAAGUGUUUUAUAAUAAUAUUUAUACAUUUAUCACCAUAUAUACACACACACAAAUAUAUGUAUACACACACAUAUACAUACAUAUAAAUGUCUGGGGAUAGAAAGUGAGACCCUCAGAAUCUUGGAUGUAGCCUGACUGCUCUGCACCCAACUGGGGAGGAGUGAGGGGAGAAGAAAGUAGAGUUCCAGCCAGAAAGGUGACAGAAGACUGCCCAAAGCUUCAUGUAACCAAUCCCUCAAGCCUGCGGAAAAGUUACUAAAUGUUUGGUGCCAGUGCCUUCCUGCAGAGUCAGUGAUGCUUAUGCUUGGUACUGAAUCAGAGACAGCACCUUCAACCAUAGUCACACGUCUGCAAAAGACAGAAAAAUCCAGUCUGAUAGCUUUGUUCUAUGUAUUUGUUCGUGUUUACACCAAGGAUUGUAGCCUGCAGCUCCUGAUCUUUUAUUCUGAAACGUUCUGGAAGUAGUAAAGGCUACUCUAUAACAUACUUGUUUUAAUAAAUGUAUUCUCCAUUUUUUAAUGCAAAACUGGCACAACCAAGAGAGGUGCCAUAUUUUGACUCAUAUUUUUACUUCACCUCUUCAUAUAACACUUCAUUCAGUGUCCUCAAUCAGGUUCUCAUUCAGGUUCUCAAUAGAGGCCAAUUUUGCACCCCCCACCCCCUGCAGCAGGAGAUAUUGUUAUGGGGUGGGUGGUUCUAGCCUCUAGGAGGUAGAGGCCAGAGAUGCUGCCAAACAUUCUACAAUGCACAGGACAGUACCCAUGGAUAAAAUACUUUGUGAAUAAGGAUACGUUAUUCGCCAUUCAGAACAAAUAAUUAUCUCGCCCAAGUUUCCACAGAGCCAAGGCUGAGAAACCCUGACCUAAAGAUAUUCAUGCCCCAAUAUGAGAAAUGUGCGUAUACAUUAAAAGAAAGUGUAAAGGAAUAAAGGAACAAAGUGGAAAUCAAAAAAUGGAAUCAGGAAAGAAGCUAAAACAUACAUAUUGCAAAACAUGUAUCUUUGAUAAAGAUGAGCUACAGAUUUGUCUAUAGCUUCCUGGCAUCUGGGUAAAAAGAUAAGCCAGAUAAUUCAAUCAUGAGCUAACUGAGGUCUGAGUGGCCACCAUGAGAAGAAGUACUGAACUCCUAGAGGAGAGACCGUAGACACAGGUUGUCAUCAUAACAGCCUAUUCCCUGGACUGAGGUGCCAUACAUAGGGAUCACUUUGGAAAGGGAGGAAAAUGAUUCACCUGGACUGAGGUGCCAUACAUAGGGAGCACUUUGGAAAGGGAGGAAAAUGAUUCAUCUUUGAAUAAGAACUACUGGAUCAGAGGAGAGAGAUGGUUAUUAGCAUGAAGAGAUAGAACAGUCAAUUGAUUAGGGGUGCUGGGUUUUCAGCCUUGAUCGCUCCAGAUUCCCUCUCCAGCCUCCUCCACACUUCUCUGUACCCUAGGAGGCAGGCCUUUUAGGAUGGUAUUCAUGGAUUCCCCAUGCUCCCUCACUUCUGGUUGAUACGGAUAACGGCAGAUGUCUACAGGAACUCAGCUGUCUACCUGCCAGGCCAAGGGUUGGCUAUGGCUGUAUUCCUCUACCAAAGUCCCCAGCUCCUGCCAGGCCACCUUCACCUACAGCUAAAGCCAAAGCAACAUCACUCUAAGGGUAGUGGUAUCUCCCUACUUUGGUUAGCCCUAGGGUGCAUCACCCCUUUGGUGGGUUCCCUGCCCUCAUCCUUGUAAAUGGUUCCAUCUGUUUUCUAUCAGUUCCCUGACUGAUUCACCAGAUCAAGACUUGGGGGUAAGGAGAGUGACUAUAUUAACACAUCAAAGGAAAGAAUGUGGAUGUAGUAAAGAGAAGCUAAAUCAACUCCUAAAGCCAGUGAAGGGAAAGCUAGAGGUACAAAUAGGAGCAUCAUAUCCCUUGCCCUGCCUGGGACUCAGUAUUUUACUCCUGGGCCCUGUUAACCUGCAGGACAGGAGAAGGAUGGAAGCACAGGCUACCAUGGUUUGGUUCUACUACAUUAGCUAUAGAGGUCUUCCAACCUGGAUUUCUCUUUGAUUUCUUUCCAAUAAUUAUUUGCCUUUACAUGUACAUUUACCUACUGGAAGAGAUGGGUUGGUUAAUAAGCAUCAAUAUUUGAAACACUUGUUAGCUAUAUCCUCAUUGUAAAUCAAUAAAUUAUCUUUCCAGUGUUCCCCCUGCCUCUGCAGCUUCAGGUGAAUGUGCAUCCUAAAGCUGUUAUCACCACCAAUGUGUCUAUAGUUCAGUUUUCUGCAUCAGCAAGUUCAAAAUCAUGGUGAGAUGACAAUCCUGCAGUGACCUGGUUCAGGUGGUUCCUACUUCAUGGAAACACCCUCUUUAUUAAUCAUAGUAGCUUCAGGACUGACCUUUAGAUCAGGGAUGCUUUAUUUUCCAUACACUUACCUUGCCCUUAAUCCCUUUGUGACAGACACUGCUUUGUCUACCCAAUAUCCCUUUCUUUCUAACAUAAUCCUGAUUAAAUGUGCAAUGUACCAACUUAAAACAUGCCUUUCCAGAUUGCAUUAGCUAUGUGACCUAGUCCUUCUCAAUCACAUAUAAGCAAAUAUGGACUCAAUACAAUUUCCAGGAAAGUUUUUACUUUCCUGAUAACAAAAGGCUGAAUCAGCUGCGCUUAUGCCCUCUGUCCACCUUCCUUGAAUGACUGGAGGAGGAGCUCUUUUCUUUCAAUCAUGAGGAUGAAAACUACAGGCUAAGCAUAGCAGAGCAGGAAGCUAGGAAGAAGCUCAGGUGCUUGAUGACUUUUCUUGAGCAGCUGAUUAGCCCUGGUUACUGAGUUUACUCUUCUUUUAAAAGCAGAGAAAGAAAACCCUAUUCAGUUAAGCUUCUAGAGUUGAGUUUCUGUGACAUAAAGCCAAAUGCAGUCUUAACUGAUACCCCUUCUUAAUCUCAAGUUCCUCUUGUCAUUCUGUAUAAACAUACAUGCUAAGAACCCUGAAGUCAUGCAUCCUCUGUUGUAUGGGAGUAAGUGGAUUGUUAUGAAAAUAUUCAGUGCAAUAAACUGAAUGUUUAUGUCUCACCAAAGUUCUUAUGUUGAAAUCCUAACCCCCAUUGUAAUGUUAUUAGGGGGUCAGGCCUUUGGAAGGUGAUUAGUUCUUGAGGAUGGAAACCUCAUAAAUGUAAUUAGUGCCCUUAUAAAAGAACCCCAAAAAGCUCCCUCCCUCAUCCCACCAUGUGAAAACACAGCAAGAAGGUGACAUCUGCAACCCAAAAGAGGGCCUUCAGCAGAACCUGACCAAGCUGAACCGUGAUCUUGGACUUCCAGCCUCCGGAACUGUAAGAAAUAAGUGCUUGUUGUACAAGCCACUGUGGUAUUCUGUUAAAGCAGCACAAAUUGACCAAGACGCUCAACCUACACCAAUGAUCCUGGAGGCUGGCAAAUGAAUAGCACUGAAUGACAGUAUAAUAGUGCCGACAGUAAUAAAAGAACAAAAGAUGUAUGUUAUUAUGAAAUUAUGAAGAAUAUUAUUGACUUCAGUAUUGCUACCUCCCCUUGGAUAUAAUGAGGUCACACAUAACAGAACACAGAUAUAGAUAAGCCAGUAAAAAUACUCUGACAAAGUUCCAGGAAAUGGCUUUUUCGAAACAUGGGACAGCUGCCAAACAAAAAAGAAAUUAAAAUCCUUCAAAACAAUUUUAUGGAUUUAAGCUAUGCAAAAACAUUGGGGGAACAUGUGAAAUUAUAUGGAAUUAUUCUGAUACUCGGCCUCUUAUU